rnacentral:rRNA from 1 species
AGUGAAUAGAUACCCGGGUAGUCCCAGCUGUAAACGAUGCGCGUUAGGUGUAUCGGUGACCACGAGUCACCGAGGUGCCGAAAGGGAAACCGUGAAACGUGCCGCCUGGGAAGUACGGUCGCAAGGCUGAAACUUAAAGGAAUUGGCGGGGGAGCACCACAACAGGUGGAGCCUGCGGUUUAAAUCGGACUCAACGCCGGGAAGCUCACCGGAUAAGACAGCUGAAUGAUAGCCGGGUUGAAGACUCUGCUUGACUAGCUGAGAGGAGGUGCAUGGCCGUCGUCAGUUCGUACUGUGAAGCAUCCUGUUAAGUCAGGCAACGAGCGAGACCCACGCCAACAGUUGCCAGCAUGUCCUCCGGGAUGGUGGGGACACUGUUGGGACCGCCUCUGCUAAAGAGGAGGAAGGAAUGGGCAACGGUAGGUCAGCAUGCCCCGAAUUAUCCGGGCUACACGCGGGCUACAAUGGUCAGGACAAUGGGUAUCAACACCGAAAGGUGAAGGCAAUCUCCUAAACCUGUCCUUAGUUCGGAUUGUGGG